rnacentral:antisense_RNA from 1 species
CGUAGCCAAAAAUAACAGCCGGAUUCAAGGUCGGAUUUGUAAUCACCCGGACAUCACCACCACCGGGAGCCCAAGUAUCGUAAACACCGCCAAAGAACAUGGCUUUCAAGACCAAGAGGAAGGCCCCAAUCCCUAGGACAAUCAGGUGAAAGCCAAGGAUGGUGGUCAUCUUGUUCUUAUCUUUCCA